rnacentral:lncRNA from 1 species
AGAGAGACAUUGUCCCUUCGUGAACUUUUCAAUUUAUUGAUGGCUAUUUCCACUCUCCUUAUUUUGACAGACAUCAUAGAUCUUUCCUCUUUCAAUCCAUAUCAUAGUUUAUUUGGGGAAGUUAUAGAAAGGGUUUACAAUUGGGUAUAAACCGUAUUUUGUUAAGUCUCACUGUCUUUAUUGUCACAACAACUUAUUUAGCAUUUGGAUAUUUGCUUUAAGGGAAUUUCUUGGAUGUGAAACUAAUAUGGUUUCAUGUUGUUGAUUUUGCUGAUUCAUGGGUUAACCAAAUCAUAAUUAGUAUUACUCAAGGGCUUCUACUUUGUCGCUAGUCACUUAUAUUGGUGUAUGAGGAUGUAUGAAUUAGCUUUGGUAAACAUCCUCUUGGAUCAGCUUGUGUACAGAAGUUUUAAGCUUUAAGUUCUGGUAUGCAUCUUUUUAUGAUGAGAUAUGGCCAGGAACAUAUUGGUUUCCUUGUAUGACUAGGGAUUGUCAAGAGAAUUGGUCCAGGUAUGUUACGGCUAAUCUUUCUUUCUUUUGGCAUGGACAAAAAUUAUACUGAAGAAAUGAGAAAAUACACAGUUUCUAUAAAUUACUCUAUUCAUAAAAAUAGUAGGGGUUUCUAUAUUCUUGAUUCCCCAUGAGAAUUAUUAUUAUCUUCUGUUCAUGGGUCUCAGAAUAUUACGCAGUUGGAAAAGUUUAUCCGGAAAGAAAUAUCGAGAUUAUUAUGUAUUUUUCAUGCAUUUUAAUAAUUAUACACGUGCAUUGAACCAUGACCAGAGGGCGUUAUAUACGCGUAUAUAUGUAAAUAUAUGUAUAUGGGAUAUGGAAAAAGGUUACGGCAUUAUAUACACACCAUCACCUGAUCAGCUAGUAUAUGUUGAUGAUGUUGCCCACAGUAGAUAAAAUAUGAUUCGAACGGCAUUAUAUACGCGUAUAUAUGUAUGUGUAUAUAUAUGUAUAUGGGAUAUGGGAAAGGUUAUGGCAUUAUAUGUGCACCACCCCCUGAUCAGCUGGUAUACGAUAUUGAUUUUUCCCAUAGUGGCCGAUGCGAUAUAAUGGGAUGCCCUUAGAGGCUGAUGAUGUUAUGAAGUACCUAUACAUGACAUGACAUUCAUACGCAUAUGCAUGACGUUAAAAGUAAUUUAUGAUUUACAAAGUUAUUCAGACUUACAGGUUCACUCAUGUACUCUAUAUUUCUUCCAUGUCUCUUAUGUACUUAUUUAUGUGUCCUACAUACUUGGUACAUUAUUUGUACUAAUGUCCCAUUUGCCUAGGGAAGCUGCGUUUCAUGCCCGCAGGUCCCGAUAGACAGGUUGAGAGCCCUCCAAGUAGGCUAUCAGCUCAGCGAAAGAUGUUGUUGCGCUCUAUUUGCUUCGGAGUUGCUCGUUUGGUUAGUAUGAUUUAGACGUGUAUUGUUCGGUAUAGCGAGACUCUAUCCCGACCUUUAUGAAAUUUAUGUACUCUUAGAGACUUGUAGACAUAUGUCAUGUACAUAAAAGGUUGUACGACAUUGUCGGCCUACGUUUUGAGUUUAUAAAGGAUCGUGUUGGCCUAUUAGGCUCGUAUGUCAUGUGUUUGUGAUUAUGUAAUAAGAAAGAUACGUUACGUUGGUACUCGGUUGAGUAAGGUACUGGGUGCCCGUCGCGGCCCAUCGGUUUGGGUCGUGACACUCAUGAAUGGUGACACCCCGAUGUCGGGUUGUGUUGGUUUUAAAUUCCGCAAAUUGUACUGUUCACUGUAAGUCUAGAUAACUCUAUAAAUCAUGAAAUGCCUAUAGUGUCAUGCAUAUGCGUAUGAAUGUCAAUGCAUAGGUCUGUACGUACAUAACAUCAUCAAGCCUCUGAGGGCAUCCCAUCAUAUCAUUUUAUCCAUUGUGG